GUCUCAGUAGCAUAGCGGUUAGUGCACAGCCCCGGAAAGGUUGAGACAUGGGUUUGAAUCCCGCCUGAGAUG
rnacentral:tRNA from 1 species